rnacentral:rRNA from 1 species
AUGAGUAGUCAUGGCAACGACCAGAAAUACGCUCGAGAGGAAUGUCAUCCUACUAAGCAAGGAAGGCUGAAUGUUGAUGAGGUAGGUGGAAGUAGAAACAACCUCAACCCAAAAGUGUGGUGGAAGAGAGGCAAUGAUCUUCAACGUAUGAGCCGCCUCAAGAAGGUGACAAUGCUUGCUCUCAACAACAACAUUCUGAGCAUCAUGUCCAUGCUAAGAGAACCGAGCAAGUGUGCUCUGCUCAGCGAGGAAUCCGCGCAACAAACAAUAGAUAAAAUCACGGGUAAAAUCUGCAUGAAAGACAUAGAUAGGAGUGGAAAACAGGGUAUGAAGUAUUGUUGCAAACAUCUUACAAAUUGA